rnacentral:lncRNA from 1 species
AAGGUGCUCAGCCUCAUCUAGUUUUCUUAUACCGGUGCAUUUAAUCUUUCUUUCAAUCUUUUCAUUGGUGGUUUCUUUAAGUGGGCCCAUAACCCACAGGUUUUUCCCAGGAUCUUAUAUGUCUCUUCUAAUUUUUCCGGAGAUCUCUAAAUCUUUUCAAAUAUGACAUAAGAAUGAUUUCCAUCAGUCAUAUCCCUUCUCCUAGAUCAAGUUGAAUUGUUUCUCGUCUUUGGCUCAACCUUUCAUUCUUCAUUAUUCCAGAGUGUCUCAUUAUUCCUGGUAUUGUUUCUCGUCAUCAUUUUCAGCUUGGAAGACUGAAGGAGCGUUUCUCUCAAAUCUUGGUCCAUUCUCUUGGAGAUUCGUCAUUUCAGCUUGGUGCCAUCAUCUUAAUUGUUCCCGAUCAUGAGUGAUUCUUUUCUUGCUAUCCGGUGCAUUUCUGAGUUGUUUUCAGUUCCCGAUCCUCCGAAGGCCAUCAUUUCAAAAGAAUCUUCGUUCUCAGCUUUCAGCUUUCAUCCUCAAUUCUUCUCAAUUGUUGUCUCUUCGUUUGUCUCUCGAUUAUCCGGUGCCUUGUUCAAG